CGUGUAGGCGGUAAGUUAAGUUAGAUGUGAAAUACUUGGGCUUAACCUGAGGAAUGUCAUCUAAGACUGACAAACUAGAGUACAGGAGAGGGAAGUGGAAUUUCCGGUGUAGCAGUGAAAUGCGUAGAUAUCGGAAGGAACACCAGUGGCGAAGGCGACUUUCUGGCCUGAAACUGACGCUGAGGCGCGAAAGCAUGGGUAGCGAACAGGAUUAGAUACCCUGGUAGUCC
rnacentral:rRNA from 1 species